AUCAGCCAAAUAAAAAAAAGAACCUCCUGUUCUCAGCCACUCACUAAACCUAACCCUAAAUUUCUCUCUCACUCUCUCACUCUCUCACUCUCUGUCUCUCUCACUGCUCUCAGCCUCUCACUCUCUCACUUUCUCACUCUUUUUCUUCGUUGGUCUUCUGAGCUCCGCCGCUACAACUCGCCGGUCUUCAUCACUGCGCAACAACUCGCUGGUCUUCUUCGUCUUCUUCAACAACUCGCCGCUUAAUAUGGCUGAUGAAGACUUCAAGGAGCAAAUUGAGCUCUCAUCAGAGGCAGAGGAGGAUAUUGACUCCGCUCCUACAAAUGCAGGCCAGAAAUUUGAUACUAAGAAGCCUAGAGUGCUACUGACUGGUUUGUAAUAUUAAGGAUCAGAGGCAGAGGAGCAAAUUGAACUCUAAAACAUUAAGGAUUUGGUUUGUAAUAUUUGGUUUGUUAUAUUUUUAAGUAUGAACUUGGUACUUAGUAGUUAGUAUUAUAUAUGUUAUUGCCAAGUAUGAACUUGGUUGGCUAA